AUUGAACGCUGGCGGCAUGCUUUACACAUGCAAGUCGAACGGUAACAGGGAGCUUGCUCCGCUGACGAGUGGCGAACGGGUGAGUAAUGCGUCGGAACGUGCCGAGUAGUGGGGGAUAACGCAGCGAAAGUUGUGCUAAUACCGCAUACGUACUGAGGUAGAAAGUGGGGGACCUUCGGGCCUCACGCUAUUCGAGCGGCCGACGUCUGAUUAGCUAGUAGGUGAGGUAAAGGCUCACCUAGGCGACGAUCAGUAGCGGGUCUGAGAGGAUGAUCCGCCACACUGGGACUGAGACACGGCCCAGACUCCUACGGGAGGCAGCAGUGGGGAAUUUUGGACAAUGGGCGAAAGCCUGAUCCAGCCAUGCCGCGUGUCUGAAGAAGGCCUUCGGGUUGUAAAGGACUUUUGUCGGGGAGGAAAUCCCCAGCGUUAAUACCGCUGGGGGAUGACAGUACCUGAAGAAUAAGCACCGGCUAACUGCGUGCCAGCCGCCGCAGUAAAAC
rnacentral:rRNA from 1 species